rnacentral:rRNA from 1 species
ACGCACGCUGGCGGCGUGCUUCACACAUGCCCGUCGAACGGAAAGGCCCUGCUUUUGUGGGGUGCUCGAGUGGCGAACGGGUGAGUAACACGUGAGUAACCUGCCCUUGACUUUGGGAUAACUUCAGGAAACGGGGGCUAAUACCGGAUAGGAGCUCCUGCUGCAUGGUGGGGGUUGGAAAGUUUCGGCGGUUGGGGAUGGACUCGCGGCUUAUCAGCUUGUUGGUGGGGUAGUGGCUUACCAAGGCUUUGACGGGUAGCCGGCCUGGGAGGGUGACCGGCCACAUUGGGACUGAGAUACGGCCCAGACUCCUACGGGAGGCAGCAGUGGGGAAUAUUGCACAAUGGGCGGAAGCCUGAUGCAGCAACGCCGCGUGCGGGAUGACGGCCUUCGGGUUGUAAACCGCUUUCGCCUGUGACGAAGCGUGAGUGACGGUAAUGGGUAAAGAAGCACCGGCUAACUACGUG